UACGUAGGUGGCAAGCGUUAUCCGGAGUUACUGGGCGUAAAGCGCGGGCAGGCGGCUCGAUGCGUCUGAUGUGAAAUCUCCUCGCUCAACGGGGAGAGGCCAUUGGAAACGGUCGAGCUGGAGGGCAGUAGAGGCAGGCGGAAUUCCGGGUGGAGUGGUGAAAUGCGUAGAGAUCCGGAGGAACACCAAUGGCGAAGGCAGCACUCUGGGACGUGACUGACGCUGAGACGCGAAAGCGUGGGGAGCGAACAGG
rnacentral:rRNA from 1 species